rnacentral:rRNA from 1 species
GCCAGACUCCUACGGGAGGCAGCAGUGGGGAAUAUUGGGCAAUGGGCGCAAGCCUGACCCAGCAAUGCCGCGUGAAGGAAGAAGGCUUUCGGGUUGUAAACUUCUUUGACAGGGGAAGAGCAGAAGACGGUACCCUGAAAACAAGCCACGGCUAACUACGUGCCAGCAGCCGCGGUAAUACGUAGGUGGCAAGCGUUAUCCGGAUUUACUGGGUGUAAAGGGCGUGUAGGCGGGACUGCAAGUCAGAUGUGAAAAUUAUGGGCUCAACCCAUAACCUGCAUUUGAAACUGUAGUUCUUGAGUGAUGGAGAGGCAGGCGGAAUUCCGUGUGUAGCGGUGAAAUGCGUAGAUAUACGGAGGAACACCAGUGGCGAAGGCGGCCUGCUGGACAUUAACUGACGCUGAGGCGCGAAAGCGUGGGGAGCAAACAGGAUUAGAUACCCCUGUA